CGGGUGCGGGUGCGGGUGCGGGUGCGGAUGCGGGUGCGGAUGCGGAUGCGGCCGCCGGUGCGGGCUCAACGGCCCGGGCCCACUUUGUCUCCGCCGCCGUGGGAUCGCACCGGGCGCCGCAACUGCCCCCGCGGGGUGGAGCCACGCGGCUGCCACCCAUUGGUCAAGAAGAGACACGUGAUGCAAGUGCCCCGGCGCGGCCAAUGUGGGCUGUGCGCCGCCGCGUGAUGGGAGCGCGCGGCCGGGAGGGAGCGGCGGAGGUGGGUGAGUGCGGCGCGCGGCCGCUCCGGGACCCUCUUUUUCCCCCAAGCUCCAUCCCGGCGGCAGCCGAGUGUCUCAGCGCCGUGGGAGCGGCCGCCGCCGCGGCCUCCUAAGGCGGGGGAGAGGGUGUGCUGUGGCCGAGCUGCGCGGUGAGGCGGCCCGGGAGCCCCGUCAGGCCCUCGGGCGAACUCGCCGGAGUUGGGGGGGAGGGGCUGAUCGCCGCCGUGCGGGCGGCAUGCGCGGGGGCACCAGCUGGCCGUGACUGCUGGGUGCUAGGUUGGAGCGGGUGAGGCCCGCCGGUCCCGAACGUCGGGAAUGGCCCCGGGACGCAUCUGGAUGUAAGGAUCCUGCCGCUGAACACUUACGGAGGCUCCGCGCGGGUUUCGGUGGCUGCCGGUUCUGCUGCGCUGGUGAAGGCUCUGGGCAGUCACCGAGGAGAAGCUCCUGAACAUGCCCGUAUUUACCAAAAAACGUUAAUGUAAAGAGUAUAUGAAAUCGUAAAUAUUCUUGCUUCAAUUCUUUGUCUUUUGUUCAUCUUGAAAUGUGAAGGGAUUGAGCUCAGGGGCUGUCCUCAUGCACGCACCGUGCCCCCCCAAAAUGCAGCCUGAAUGCAGGAACCCUGAAGACCAGGAAUACUUGUCUGAGCACCUGAGUUGUCCAGUGGAAAAACACGCGCAGUUGUCCUUCUGAAAAGGACACUGAAACAGCAUGGCUGCAUCUGCUCUGUCUUGGAUAAUAUGAAUCCGAAAUUAAUAUCCAAAAUAUGAAGCAAUUCAGUUUGUGCAGAAAUUAAUGUGGCAUAUUUCUUCUUGAAGAAUGACCAGCAAGAAUGAAACAUGUAAGAUUUAAAAACUAUAAACAUUAUUUGAUACUUUAUUUUUAGGGCACCACAGGGAAAAAGUAAAGGUCUUGUUAAAAAAAAAGAAGCACUUUAAUAUUGUCUGAUAAUUUUCCAGCAAUAAAACCUAAUUCAUCAGAGAAAAAAAGAAAAGGCUAGGGAAAGAAAAGGGAGUUGGAUUUAUUCAGCCUGGGGAAGAGAAGCAUCCAGGGUGACCUUACUGCUGCCUUUCAGUACCUGAGGGAGCUCCAAGGGAGCUGGAGAGGUACUUUGUACAAGGGGUAAUGGCUUUCCACUGCCAGAGGGCAGGGUUAUUGGGAUACUGAGAAGAACUUCCCUGUGAGGGUGGGGAGGCCCUGGCACAGGGUGCUCAGAGAAGCUGUAGCUGCUCCAUCCCUCAAAAUGUGCAAGGCCAGGUUAGACAGGGCUUUUGAAGCGACCUGGCCUAGUGGAAGGUGUCCCUGAUGACAGGGGUAUAACAAGAUGAGUUUUAAGAUCCUUUUGAAUCCAAACCAUUCCAUGAUUCUGUGAUUCUAUUGUACCCAAGCUAUGUGGUGAAAAGUUAAAUUUAAAUCUGUUAUUCAUGAUUGGUAAAUGGCUAAGACCUGAGUUUCAUAUUUGAGUUGUUUGACCUGCACCCCACCAUCACGCUCAUCAGUGUGAGCCUGAGCUAACAAGCCUGCAGCUUUGGCCUGAACUUCACUUCCCAGAGCAGCAUUUUGCUCUGUUUACCCUCAGUUUGCCCUGUUCAAGCCAGCAAGUUGUAUCAUUCCUCCUGGCAGGGAUUUCUCUCUGUGUUCUUGUGAAGGCAUCAAAAAAUCACUGUGCAUGUGUGUGCAGUGGCUCUUUUAGGCCUUUUCUCUGAAAAGCUGUGCACAACAGGACAUGAAACUGCAUGAAAGAAUUGGGAAAAUUACUGUUGAGAACUGUAUUUAGGUGUAUUUGGUUUAUGACAAUAAAUGAGUCUAUUAAAGAUUGUAGCAUCAUCUGUUGUGCUCUGCUUUUGUCAUAUUGUAGUCAAUAGCAGCAGCAGAUGUUCGAAAGUAAUAUAAAUCCUAUUAGUGUAAGGGCAAGGUAAUUACCCAAAUAUGUGUUCCUGAGGAGCGUGAACCUGAACUUAUGCAUCUUAUCAACCUUGUCCUCUUAGGUAAUCAGAAUGUCUCUCUGCCUACCAGGAACUUUGUCUCAUCAUCUUACCUUCAGGGAGAAACCAAUGUUUCUUUCCUGGUGUUGAAGAGGUUGACAACAUCAUCCAAGUACUGCAGUGCUGUGUACAGAGCAGUUGAACACCUUUCUGCUGCUCCUAUUGGAUCUGACGUUCUGAGGAUAGGCUGGCUGAAUGCCAGUCCUUUCUUUCUGGCCCUUGGUAGAGGACUAGUACACUGCAGUUCUAUUUCAUUUGGCCAGCCCAGGCAGGAAAUUGCUCAUUACCAUCUCACUAUUUGGUGGUGAUCAAUUUGACAAAAGUGAAGCGAGAAUUCUUACACUUUCCCUAGCUGUUCAGCAGUAGAUUUCAGACAUGUUCCUGACUUCUGCUCUUUGGUCUCUCUUGCCCAAGUCUUGAAAGAUAUAUACCUUUUGUUUGCUGGCUCUCUGAGCUGCCAGACAUUGGCCCAAGGUGUAAUGAAAUGAAUUCACCUUUUGCAAAGCAGCAUUUAGAUUGCAUCACAUCUCUGCCUUGGCCACGGCAGAGCUAUGCUUUGAUAGGGACCUCUCUGUCCGUGGAUGGAGACGUAACAGGUUUGUUUGGCCUGUGUACCAUUGGUACAAACUGCUGGAUUUCUCAGUACUUUAGAGAUUAAAGUCUUCCCACUGUAAAUUCACAUUUAUCCUCUUUUGAGGAAGCUGUUUCUUUUUGGAAACUCUCUCCCUAAACUGUUUAAAUAGUUCUAGAUCUUUCAGUUAUACUGGUUAUGAUGGGCAACCUCCCCGCCCCCUCCCCCCUUUUUUUUCCUUCUGCUAACCAUGUCUGCACCUGUGUGGGCCUUGAGUCAACAAUUGUUCUUUUUCUCUCCUAUUUUUUAAGAAGCUAGCCUUCUAAGCCAGUACUUAAUGCAGGAGUCAAUAUAGUGGUAAGUACUAGAUUCUACACCAGACAAGUGCUAUAAAUGCAGCAAAGCAUUUUUUCCACAUGUCUGUGAGGUCUCCCAGGUUAACUGUAGCUUUAUUCUGUGUUUAUGUACAUGAAGAAAUUGAAAACUUUGCAUUGUAGAAAUUAGAUUUUCAGAGUGAAAUAAGCAGGCAGUGAAAAAUAAAUAUGAGACAUUACCAAUAAUUCUCAGGUGGUCUUUUUUAUUUUUACCAAACUGGUCCUUUGUUUAUCCUUCAUUUUUCUGGAAGGAAAAAAUGGCAUUGCCUUUGGAUGCAAGGUCCUCUGUCUACGUCAUGACAGAAGCUGCUGAAGUUCAAGGUCAAUGUUGUUCUACAGAGUGUUUGCCUUGGUGAUUCUAAGAAGAUUGGGUACAGUUGCAAGCCACAGUAACUAGAUUGGCAUGGAUCUCUUUUCUAUUGUCCUGAAUUUGUAGAAAAAAUUUCAAAGCUUCCUUUAAAGGGCUUGAAAUCAUGUUGCCUCACAGCUUUUUGGUUCAUCCUUUCAUGUCAUGCUGGAUGCUGCCUCUGUUGUGUGAAUUCUCAUUGUCUCCCCAUACAGAAUUGGAACUUCUGCCAUGAAAUACACUUCUGCCUCCAAUGUGGGGUGUUCUCCUUUACACAGAGCAUGCCAGUCUCAAAGAGAAGAGCUGCGUCAAAAAGCAUCAAAAGCAUUCCUCCUUUCCUUGGGCAUCAGUUGCAUCUCCAUGUCGAUUCAACACAAUCCAAGAACACAACCCUGAAGUCAAUCAUUUAGAAGGAAGUGUUUUCCUCCUCGCUUCUCCUAGCCUACUGCAGAAAACACUGUGCCUUGGCAGAAAGGCAGAAGAGCCUAUGAGAAGACGGUAGAAAAGGAGUGAUGGUGGUGUCUUACAAGAAUUUUCCUCACAAACUUGAAAGAAUUACGGAUGGCAUGAACUCAUUGUCACAAAUGGAUAGUUUGGUCGAGGUUGCAUGGUUUUCCACAGGUAUGCUUCAAAGGACUCAAGCCCGGAGGCUUUCUGCUCUGAGCUGUAACUGUAUGAUGUUUUUAGUGGCUUCAACCAACAAGAGAAGGUAUGCAGGCUUCUUAACAACGUGACUAACUAGUACAGUUUUUUUCAUGAAUAAAUAGUUUUCCCUGUCUCAUUAUUUGAAA